rnacentral:misc_RNA from 1 species
UGGGUUUGACAUGGUGGGAAAAGCCGCAGAGAUGCGGUGUCCGCAAGGGCCCUGCACAGGUGGUGCAUGGCUGUCGUCAGCUCGUGUCGUGAGAUGUUGGGUUAAGUCCCGCAACGAGCGCAACCCUUGUCCUAUGUUGCCAGCGGGUAAUGCCGGGGACUCGUAGGAGACUGCCGGGGUCAACUCGGAGGAAGGUGGGGAUGACGUGAUCUACG